rnacentral:snRNA from 1 species
GUUCUUGCUUCGGUAGAACAUAUACUAAAAUUGGAACGAUACAGAGAAGAUUAGCAUGGCCCCUGCGCAAGGAUGAUACGCAAAAUCGUGAAGCGUUAAAAGAAAUC